GAAUGCCCCAUUUUCUUGUCUCUCAAACCUAUAAGGCCAAUGUGCCUUAGGGUAUUUUAGAUUCCGAUUCAAAGCAAAGGAAACUUCCUAAGGAAAAAGGGCUUUUAGAAUCAGCUCUUCCUGAAGUGAAGAAGGAGAUGUGGCACUGUGCAUCGUAUCAUCCAUAGAUAGCAAGGGAACUAGCCAUUUCUUAUCUUGAAUAGGAAAAGAAGGAACUGGCAUCGUGCCUUAAGGCUUUAUUGGCUAACCCGAGCAAAGCACCCUAUAGCAUUUAGGACAUCCCGAGGGGGAAUCAAGUGAGAUGUCACUUAUUAAAGCAAAAUCUGCUAAAGCCCUAGAUGCCAAGAUCCACAGGCACUCCUAAG
rnacentral:lncRNA from 1 species